rnacentral:rRNA from 1 species
UGGGGGAACCCUGAUGGAGCGACGCCGCGUGGGGGAUGACUGGCUUCGGCCCGUAAACCCCUGUCAUUUGCGAACAAAUUGAUUCACCUAACACGUGAAGCAUUGAUAGUAGCGGAAGAGGAAGGGACGGCUAACUCUGUGCCAGCAGCCGCGGUAAUACAGAGGUCCCAAGCGUUGUUCGGAUUCACUGGGCGUAAAGGGUGCGUAGGUGGCCAGGUAAGUCUGAUGUGAAGGCUCGGAGCUUAACUCCGAAAUGGCAUUGGAUACUAUCUGGCUGGAGGGUCGGAGGGGGGACUGGAAUUCUCGGUGUAGCAGUGAAAUGCGUAGAUAUCGAGAGGAACACCAGUGGCGAAGGCGAGUCCCUGGACGACUCCUGACACUGAGGCACGAAAGCUAGGGGAGCAAACAGGAUUAGAUACCCUGGUAGUCCUAGCCGUAAACGGUGCAUAUUUGCUGUAAAAGGAAUCGACCCCUUUUGUGGCGUAGCUAACGCGUUAAAUAUGCCGCCUGGGAAGUACGGUCGCAAGAUUAAAACUCAAAGAAAUUGACGGA